rfam:Enterococcus sp. 3H8_DIV0648 scaffold00001, whole genome shotgun sequence.
UAUUACAAUAGAUGUAGGCUCAUUCGUGAGCUCAUCUAAGUAGAACGUUUCAGACUUUAGUGAGGCAUGAAACGAUUCGAUGCAGGCGUUAUCUGACG